CGCUAAUUGGCUAAAAAGUUAAAACAAAAAAGAAGGAAGGAAAUUCUGGGUUGGAAUUGAAAGACUUGAAUGAUGUGGAAGAGGAAACCAAUAGCUGCCUAAGACAAAUACAAAAAUACAGACAGGGAAUAGGGUACAAGCUCUACAGGGAAUAUGUGUUCCCCUCAGCUUCUGCAGCAUCAGAAUCUGCCUUCUAGGAUGACAAGCAACGCUGAUGACACGGAGCUUCAGCGCAAGACCUCUCCCGCCUUCUCCUCUGGACAGAUGCCAACACCUGGGAGAAAACACGGCAGAAAACAGAUCCGCUUGGAUGGCCACAAGGAGAGAACCGCAUUACAGACAGGACUCACCAAGAACGGCAAGCAGGCUGAGCCCAGAGA